AUUUAUUACAUCUGCACAGUGGAGUGAAAGAUCCCUGGAGUGGGGGGACCCUCACUCAAGUCUCAGGAUGACGUGACCCCCCAAGAACUCACAUAAGACC
rnacentral:pre_miRNA from 14 species